GAUCGUCUGCUCGAGAGGUAGAUCGAGAGGGUUAUGCCGGGGCGGCGGAGCGACUCGUCUGAGGCUCGCCUCCGCUUCCGUCUGCUUUGGUAGCGGGUACCUAGACGUCUAGCACCCUGCCGUGCGCAACGAGAAACUGCUGCUGCGCCGCCGCCUCCAGCAUUUGAGGCCGCCAAGGGAGCAGGGGACCAGGCGGCGGCCGCGCCGGCUAGAGGAGGAACUGGCAGUGCUGCAGGCGGUGGAGGAGCUGGCGCAGGGAGGAGCAAGUUUGGCGCGGAUGAGGCACCGGGAGGAGAGGUGGGGGAGAGGGCUGCCGCACAGGCUCCGGCUCGAACUGGCGCUCGCGAAGGAGCUGGAGUGGCGGCCGCAGCCGUGGCCUCUGCGCAGAGGAAGUCCAUAUUUGGGGAGGUGGGAGACACGAAUAACAUAUACUGCGGUGAGAUACAGCAGUUGUCGACAAAAAUGGUAAGAAUACAUUAACCUGCGGCAAUCGCAUUCAGACACCUGAAACUCGUAAGACUCUCCCCAGAUCCCUUUACCUUGGUAGCAUAGAAUAUCUUCCAACUACGGUUUAUUACAAAAGAAAAGUUUACAGGGGUAUACGAUAAACGGAUACUACAGUCUUCUCUCAACCAGACAUACUCGACUUCAAACCCACCGAGUCAACCUCAUUUACAACUUAAACCACGCGAUACUGUGACUCUAUACAGGCCUCUUUAUAGACACUUUACGAUUCUUACAUUUUAUUGAGCCACCAGAGAACGAUAACAAACAGACGUUGUUUCAAUUAUAACGUAGACGACCAAAGGAUAUCAUCGACAUGACAGAUGGUGCAUAUACUCGUUGUCAUCAACCAUAUAAAAAAAAAGGUCAAAAUGGAUUACUUUGACCGUGUACACCGUUUCCAUCACCACGAUCAACUUGAGGAUAAUAUAAAGAACAGUAUAAGAAGACAUUCAAACGUCCUUCCUACGAACUAAAAUAAACUACUCGUAGAAAUUAGACAAGUUUCUUUGCCCUGUCUAUGACCCGUCCGGUCAAUAUUACGACAGCGAAAGAGUAUACCCCCUGGACGACCAAGACUACUAGGCUUACUAAGUUAGAGAAGAAUAGCGGGUAGAAAAGGACACAGUCUUUCGGACAACUUAUUCGACCACUCACGUGUUUCGGAUGACAGACGAGAGUAGUAUAUACGUAAGACAGUAUAAUAAAAAGGUGAAGUAUGUAAAAAUAAUUAGAAGAAGUCAACUAGGUCGUUAUUAACAGGUUCCACGUAUACAAGAAGAUUCCUAAUUUACAGAUAAAGUCUACCAACCUCGUCUCUACUUCAAGGAUGAUCACUAGGUGUAACAAAGGAAUGCUAGAUAGAACUGCAUUCCUUAUCCGUCCACCCUAAUCUUACUACAUUUACCAUGUAUAUUAUUUUCUUCUCUUAUGACGUUGCCCUAUCGACAAGAAUUAAAAUGAUACGACAUGGUCAAGACAUGAUGAGGUCAACACAAAUUCAGUAUACCAACACUAAAAGACGAGAGUAUGGUAAUGACUCUGUGAAAAGAACAGUAUUAAAAAUUAAACGUCGGAGGGAGGCUCUUCCACGUAGUCUAUUAACGUUCUUGACGAGAUAAACAGUCACUCGUACCCCCUGUUAGUCUCUAACACAAUUCCCACUUCGUCCCUUCAUUAGGUUGUAAACCUAAGAACUACGGACUGGUAGUAGAGGUGUCGAUGAAGGCGAUGUAACAACUAGUAGGAGUCGACAACUUUCUACCGAGACUACGACUGUGGUUAUUUCCGUUGUUUUAACAAUACCCACUCUCACUCUUACGACGGAGCAGUUCGCCUCGAAAUAGUAACGAACCCCGGCAGAUGCUCAGACCUCUACUCCUACUUACGCACGAAGGUCGAUCAAGUUUUCCGUUCCUAGGACCUUUACUGCGAAACGUACUGUUACAGGUGUUUCCGAGUAGUAAGGAACAUGUACUGUUGCUUCACUUUUUUCUGGUCUGUCAUUGAUAUCUUCGUCGGUGAAAUCAUUUCCUAUUUGGAUAAAAGUGGUUCUUCUUGGGUUGUUAACGACCUUUGUCGUAACAACGACGAGUCGCCCUCUUCCAAUUUCUACGGUACUGUCACAAUUGGUGAAGAUGGUUCAGACUGUUGAGAUUUAAUCCACACAGACUGUGUUUUCUUUACUAUGACCUUGGUGGUAGGAAAAACUUCCCGUGUUACCUCUUUUAUCAACUCAAAUAAGAGUCCUUGCCCUUCCUCAAACUUGUUUUCGAGUAACUCGUUCUGUCCUACUGUCCCUCCAAAGGUAAAGAAGACGGCAGAUUAGGUAUAGUGAGCAUGAUAGAGUCCUACGAAGUCCUUUGGGUUCUCAGGUUCAGGGCACCACCAAGAAGUCUCGUGUCCCUGUCUUCCUCGAGAAGUCUCGCGGUUCUGUCCUCCUCAAGAAGUCUCGCGUCUCUGUCCUCCUCAAGUCUUGCAUUUCUGUCUUCCAGAUACCUCGCGUUCCUAUCUUCAAGAAGUCUGGAGGCUCUCUCACCGGUACUGUUCCUUCAUUGAUUUUCGUUCCCUGCCCCUUCACGAUUGUUCCUGAGUUCGUGAAGACUAUCUUCGAGACGCCUUGGUAGUGUCUUCGUCGAUAGACUGUUUGUUCCCCUCCCCUUUAAGGUCAACAAGUGACCACCCCGGUUCUUCCUUGAAGGAGCCUGCCAGUGACGUCUACUUCGACGACGAUAACAAUACCGCCGAUGAGCACCUGACCCCGGACGGUUAGGAGUUGGAUUGUGCGAUUUUCUGUGCUCACUGUAAGCGGUAUAUGUCCCGAGUCCACGUCACAGGUUUGGACGAAGUUUAUCACUCGGACCGUGUAGUCAGUGUUCAUCACUAGUCGAUUUCUUCCUUCCAUAACCUUAAUAGCUACUACUAACCUAGUGUUUAUGUUAGCGUUUUCGUCAACGACAACGGCGGAGAUUUCUCCGUCUAAGAAGACUUCGAAGGUACUGUUUACUCGUCUUCGACUUCCGACUCUCCGAAGCCGCACGUUCCUACAAGUGAAGUUAAUAAUUCCCACCACCGUUGUUCUCGCUAGACCACUGUUCACUCUAUUGAUUACUUAGACGUUCCCGGCGAGGACGAUUAAGCUUGGAGGGGCACGGAGGUCUUGGAAACCGAUGACUUGCCCUUCCAUCGAGACACGCAAAACUUGCCCUUCCAUCGAGACACGCAAAACUUGCACUUCCAAGCUUAUACGAGUUCGUCCUCUUUCUGAGACUACUGCUCGUCUUGUCCCGUGCGUUCAUGUCUUUCGUAGUAGGUCUUAGACUACUCCUGUUUCUACUAAACCUCCUCCUUUCAAUAUUUGUGAGUUCCUUCUCCGUAGCAAGCCUCGCAAGUUCUCCGGUGUCAUUCCUACGUGUGUCUGUAUUCGUGUUCGUCGUGAGGUUCCUUUCCCUCAUAUCCGUGCUAGUAUCGAGAAGCCUUCUACUCGAUGCGUCAAGGUUCAGUUCCGUAGCCGUAUCCCUGCUAGUAGUGAUACAACUUCUACUGCUCGUAUCCUCCGUGGCCUCCUCGGUAGCGAGACCAAGGUUUUCCUUUGUGUUCCUACUGCCUAUAGAGUUACUCGUUUGAGAACCGGCACAACUUCGGAGGGUUUUGUGCGGACUCGUGUCCGUACCUAGUCUCGUCGGGGGAUCGCUGUGACGAGUUAGAAGCGUCCGCCAUUGAGUCCAGGGUCUACUCGACUUCCGCUUUUAAUCCCGCUACGAUAAUCUCUGUGACAUUAUGUGACGCGCAACACUACAUUGUGACAUGAUAGUACAAGAAAAGGUAAACCGCGGAAUAAACAAUGUCAGGUCAAGGAAAUAAAACAAGUUCGUAAACAGACAAUUUUAUAGGGUAACGGACCGUGACACCAGACGUAAAUAUCGCGGAUGAACGAAGACGACCGCGUGUGUCUUCGUAAUAUCGUAUCGUACUAAUGACGAUUAGAAAAAUGGCAAAAGUUUACUAUGAAGGAGUCAGGGUUUUACAUUACAUGAAAAACUGUGAUGCUA
rnacentral:rRNA from 1 species